rnacentral:rRNA from 1 species
UACGUAGGGGGCAAGCGUUGUCCGGAAUCAUUGGGCGUAAAGCGCGUGUAGGCGGCUCUGUAAGUCCGUUCUGAAAGCCCGGGGCUCAACCCCGGGAGGCGGAUGGAUACUGCAGGGCUCGAGUACGGAAGAGGCGAGUGGAAUUCCCGGUGUAGCGGUGAAAUGCGCAGAUAUCGGGAGGAACACCAAUGGCGAAGGCAGCUCGCUGGGACGUUACUGACGCUGAGACGCGAAAGCGUGGGGA